rnacentral:rRNA from 1 species
GAUGAACGCUGGCGGCGUGCCUAAUACAUGCAAGUCGAGCGAACGGACGAGAAGCUUGCUUCUCUGAUGUUAGCGGCGGACGGGUGAGUAACACGUGGAUAACCUACCUAUAAGACUGGGAUAACUUCGGGAAACCGGAGCUAAUACCGGAUAAUAUUUUGAACCGCAUGGUUCAAAAGUGAAAGACGGUCUUGCUGUCACUUAUAGAUGGAUCCGCGCUGCAUUAGCUAGUUGGUAAGGUAACGGCUUACCAAGGCAACGAUGCAUAGCCGACCUGAGAGGGUGAUCGGCCAAACUGGAACUGAGACACGGUCCCGACUCCUACGGGAGGCAGCAGUAGGGAAUCUUCCGCAAUGGGCGAAAGCCUGACGGAGCAACGCCGCGUGAGUGAUGAAGGUCUUCGGAUCGUAAAACUCUGUUAUUAGGGAAGAACAUAUGUGUAAGUAACUGUGCACAUCUUGACGGUACCUAAUCAGAAAGCCACGGCUAACUACGUG